rnacentral:rRNA from 1 species
AUUGAACGCUGGCGGCAGGCCUAACACAUGCAAGUCGAGCGCGCGUCGGACGCGUGUGUAAUGUAUGGGGACUGCCCGAUAGAGGCGGAGAACUACUGUAAACGGUAGCUAAUACUGCAUACUAUCGGAUCACCCAUAUGUGGUUAGCUAGUAGGUGAGGUAAUGGCUCAACUAGGCGACGAUCCCUAGCUUGUCUGAGAGGAUGAUCAGCCACACUGGGACUGAGACACGGCCCAGACUCCUACGGAGGCAGCAGUGGGGAAUAUUGCACAAUGGGCGCAAGCCUGAUGCAGCCAUGCCGCGUGUAUGAAGAAGGCCCUAGGGUUGUAAAGUACGUUCAGUCGGGAGGCGUUACCGACAGAAGAAGCACCGGCUAACUCCGUGCCAGCAGCCGCGGUAAUAC